AAGUCGUAACAAGGUUUCCGUAGGUGAACCUGCGGAAGGAUCAUUAACAAAUCAACUGUGCGGGUCUUCUGACCCUGCGCAUAUAAACCCGAACCCGUGCGGUCAAAUGCCGGGCUAGGUGUGCAUGGCGCAAGCCAUGUACGGCCGCGUCUGAGUGCCCUGUGUGCUCAGUCAAAGCCAAAUAGACGCUUGUAUGUUUUGACAGAUCUAGUUGACACUUUAAAAAUGACAACUUUUAACAAUGGAUCUCUUGGCUCUU
rnacentral:misc_RNA from 1 species